GACGAACGCUGGCGGCGUGCCUAAUACAUGCAAGUAGAACGCACAGUUUAUACCGUAGCUUGCUACACCAUAGACUGUGAGUUGCGAACGGGUGAGUAACGCGUAGGUAACCUGCCUGGUAGCGGGGGAUAACUAUUGGAAACGAUAGCUAAUACCGCAUAAUAUUAAUUAUUGCAUGAUAAUUAAUUGAAAGGUGCAAUUGCACCACUACCAGAUGGACCUGCGUUGUAUUAGCUAGUAGGGGAGGUAACGGCUCACCUAGGCGACGAUACAUAGCCGACCCGGGAGGGUGAAUGGGCAACACUGGAAUGGGACACGGCCCAGACUUCUACGGGGAGCAGCAGGAGGGGAUCUUCGGACAUGGACGAAAGGCCUACCGAGCAACGCCGGGUGGGGGAAGGAGGGUCUCGGAUCGGAAAACUCUGUUGUAAGGGAAGGACGGGUGGGAGAGUGGAAAGUUCACAUUGUGACGGUAUCUUAAGAGAAAGGGACGGCUAACUACGUG
rnacentral:rRNA from 1 species